rnacentral:lncRNA from 1 species
GCAGAGAGAGGUAGUCGGCGGCGGCGUUCCUCGCCGGGGAAAAGAAGUGGCGCCGUCGCAGAGAGAGGUAGGGCGAGAGCGAGUUCCUGUGGUGCGGAGCGGAGCGGAGCGCGUCGACUGGGAGCGGAGCGGAGCGCGUCGUGCUCAGAGGAAGGCGGUGAAGAAGAAGGAGAGAGACGCAGCCCCGAGAUCUAGCGAGAUCUAGAAGAUAGGGUUUGAAGAGUUGAUGGGGGCGGUGAGCCGAGGCACGGUGGCGGCGGCGACGACCUAGCUGCUGCCGGAGAGGUGAAGGGGAAGAGGAGCGUAGGUCGGGUCCGAGCCUCGCCGGAGGAGGAACCACGCCGGGGAAGAGGGGAAGGGGAAGGGGAAGAAG